rnacentral:rRNA from 1 species
CGCGGCCUAUCAGCUUGUUGGUGGGGUAAUGGCCUACCAAGGCGACGACAGGUAGCCGGCCUGAGAGGGCGACCGGCCACACUGGGACUGAGACACGGCCCAGACUCCUACGGGAGGCAGCAGUGGGGAAUAUUGCACAAUGGGCGAAAGCCUGAUGCAGCGACGCCGCGUGAGGGAUGACGGCCUUCGGGUUGUAAACCUCUUUCAGCAGGGACGAAGCGUAAGUGACGGUACCUGCAGAAGAAGCGCCGGCCGACUACGUGCCAGCAGCCGCGGUAAGACGUAGGGCGCGAGCGUUGUCCGGAUUUAUUGGGCGUAAAGAGCUCGUAGGCGGCUUGUCGCGUCGACUGUGAAAACCCGCAGCUCAACUGCGGGCCUGCAGUCGAUACGGGCAGGCUAGAGUUCGGUAGGGGAGACUGGAAUUCCUGGUGUAGCGGUGGAAUGCGCAGAUAUCAGGAGGAACACCGGUGGCGAAGGCGGGUCUCUGGGCCGAUACUGACGCUGAGGAGCGAAAGCGUGGGGAGCGAACAGGAUUAGAUACCCUGGUAGUCCGCGCUGUAAACGUUGGGCGCUAGGUGUGGGGGACCUCUCCGGUUCUCUGUGCCGCAGCUAACGCAUUAAGCGCCCCGCCUGGGGAGUACGG